GACGGAGGGGGCUAGCGUUGUUCGGAAUUACUGGGCGUAAAGCGUGCGUAGGCGGCUUUUCAAGUUGGGUGUGAAAGCCCGGGGCUUAACCCCGGAAAUGCGCCCAAGACUGUUUGGCUAGAGACCGGGAGAGGUGAGUGGAACUCCGAGUGUAGAGGUGAAAUGCGUAGAUAUCGGAAGGAACAUCAGUGGCGAAAGCGACUUCCUGGACCAAUACUGACGCUCAUGUGCGAAAGCGUGGGGAGCAAACAGG
rnacentral:rRNA from 1 species